UAAACUCUCACUGACCAAGCAGCAGGGAUGAGAGGAUUUAACAGUUAGUUCAGGGUCAUGUGACAACAAAUCAACAUGUGGUACAACUGUGUAGACUGAAGGAUCUGGAGUUAAUUAAAGAAGAGAGGAGGUUUGGACUUGGAGGGUAACUUUGAGAAGCUAGACAUGCUGUUGUUGUCUUUCCUCUGAGAAUGGCACUCAACCUCCAGUCCUUGUUGACAUUAACAUCCAUCUGGGCUAACCUCCAGUGGCUGUCUUCCUUCCUAUACCUCUCUGACCGCUGAUAGCUUUGGCAUGUUUUCCACUAAUAAGCUGGCGACCAUCAGCAACAAGUUUUCUACACUAAAAAUCUGUUAUCAUUCUCUCCUUUCAGGAAGAUUGAUGUUUCUGCAUCUAUUCAACCACCUCACCCCUAGACCAUAUUUUACAAGAUAGAAGAUACAAUAUUUCUCCAUCUCUCACACAACUGCACAACCAUUCAAGACUGAUCUAAUGUAAUACUCUGUUGAUCGUCCUUCCAGCACAAUCAGACCUCUGUAAAAAUUAUAUAUAUUUUAUAAUCACAUAGGCUAUAUUAUGACAGUAAAUCUUUUUCAGAGAUUCUAUUUCAAUCUAACAGUAAGAUAUAGUGAUUUCCUUUAGAAGUCUGUUGUUCCUUUUGACACCUGUGUAUAAUGCUGUAACCUGUUUCAUCAAACCCUAAAUAUCAGUGAGGAUUCAGAGUGAACCUAACUGUAAAAAACACAUUAUAUUUGAAAAGAUACAUAUAUUUCACUUGCACUUGUACAUUUUCAGAUGAUUGCCGCUUGUUGCUAUAUUUUGUAAGUCACAUUGGUCAAAAGGAUGUGACUAAAGGAAUAAAUAUA